rnacentral:misc_RNA from 1 species
GAUGAAGAACGUAGCGAAAUGCGAUAAGUAGUGUGAAUUGCAGAAUUCAGUGAAUCAUCGAAUCUUUGAACGCACAUUGCGCCCCUUGGUAUCCCGAGGGGCAUGCCUGUUCGAGCGUCAUUUCACCACUCAAGCCUGGCUUGGUGUUGGGCGACGUCCCCUUUGGGGACGCGCCUCGAAACGCUCGGCGGCGUGGCACCGGCUUUAAGCGUAGCAGAAUCUUUCGCUUUGGAAGUCGGGGCCCCGUCUGCCGGAAGACCUACUCGCAAGGUUGACCUCGGAUCAGGCAGGGAUACCCGCUGAACUUAAGCAUAUCAAUAAGCGGGGGA